rnacentral:rRNA from 1 species
CACGUAGGGUGCGAGCGUUGUCCGGAAUUAUUGGGCGUAAAGAGCUCGUAGGCGGUGUGUCGCGUCGGCCGUGAAAACCUGCAGCUUAACUGUGGGCUUGCGGUCGAUACGGGCAUCACUGGAGUUCGGCAGGGGAGACUGGAAUUCCUGGUGUAGCGGUGAAAUGCGCAGAUAUCAGGAGGAACACCGAUGGCGAAGGCAGUGGUCUGGGCCGAUACUGACGCUGAGGAGCGAAAGCGUGGGGAGCGAACAGG